UGGGGAAUAUUGCGCAAUGGGGGAAACCCUGACGCAGCGACGCCGCGUGUGGGAUGACGGCCUUCGGGUUGUAAACCACUGUCGGGAGGGACGAAGAUCUGACGGUACCUCCAAAGGAAGCACCGGCUAACUCUGUGCCAGCAGCCGCGGUAAUACAGAGGGUGCGAGCGUUGUCCGGAAUUACUGGGCGUAAAGGGCGCGUAGGCGGCCUGAUAAGUAGGGGGUGAAAUUCCGUGGCUCAACCACGGAACUGCCUUCUAAACUGCCAGGCUUGAGCACGGUAGAGGCAGAUGGAAUUCCCGGUGUAGCGGUGGAAUGCGUAGAGAUCGGGAAGAACACCAGUGGCGAAGGCGGUCUGCUGGGCCGUUGCUGACGCUGAUGCGCGACAGCGUGGGGAGCAAACAGGAUUAGAUACCCCCGUAGUCC
rnacentral:rRNA from 1 species